ACCAGACUCCUACGGGAGGCAGCAGUGGGGAAUAUUGCACAAUGGGGGGAACCCUGAUGCAGCGACGCCGCGUGAGUGAAGAAGUAUUUCGGUAUGUAAAGCUCUCUCAGCAGGGAAGAAAAUGACGGUACCUGACUAAGAAGCCCCGGCUAACUACGUGCCAGCAGCCGCGGUAAUACGUAGGGGGCAAGCGUUAUCCGGAUUUACUGGGUGUAAAGGGAGCGUAGACGGUUAUGCAAGUCUGAAGUGAAAGCCCAAGGCUCAACCAUGGGACUGCUUUGGAAACUGUAAAGCUGGAGUGCGGGAGGGGCAGGCGGAAUUCCUGGUGUAGCGGUGAAAUGCGUAGAUAUCAGGAGGAGCACCGGCGGCGAAGGCGGCCUGCUGGACCGUAACUGACGUUGAGGCUCGAAAGCGUGGGGAGCAAACAGGAUUAGAUACCCCCGUA
rnacentral:rRNA from 1 species